rnacentral:rRNA from 1 species
AUUGAACGCUGGCGGCAGGCCUAACACAUGCAAGUCGAGCGAGCGGCGGACGGGUGAGUAAUGUAUGGGGACUGCCCGAUAGAGGGGGAUAACUACUGGAAACGGUGGCUAAUACCGCAUACUAUCGGAUAACCCAUAUGGGAUUGGCUAGUAGGUGGGGUAAAGGCUCACCUAGGCGACGAUCCCUAGCUGGUCUGAGAGGAUGAUCAGCCACACGGGAACGGAGACACGGCCCAGACUCCUACGGAGGCAGCAGUGGGGAAUAGUGCACAAGGGGCGCAAGCCUGAUGCAGCCAUGCCGCGUGUAUGAAGAAGGCCUUAGGGUUGUAAAGCACUUUCAGCGAGGAGGCGUUACUCGCAGAAGAAGCACCGGCUAACUCCGUGCCAGCAGCCGCGGUAAUUC